rnacentral:tRNA from 2 species
CCGACGAGUUCCGGGUUCGAGUCCCGGGCAACCCA